rnacentral:rRNA from 1 species
CAGCCGCCACGGUAAUACGAAGGGGGCUAGCGUUGCUCGGAAUGACUGGGCGUAAAGGGCGCGUAGGCGGCCAUUCAAGUUAGAUGUGAAAGCCCUGGGCUCAACCUAGGGAUUGCAUUUGAUACUGUUUGGCUUGAGUUCGGGAGAGGUGAGUGGAAUUCCCAGUGUAGAGGUGAAAUUCGUAGAUAUUCGGAAGAACACCAGUGGCGAAGGCGGCUCACUGGGCGCGUAUUGACGCUGAGGUGCGAAAGCGUGGGGAGCAAACAGGAUUAGAGACCCGAGUAGUCCCUGUCUCUUAUAC